ACCUGCCUUCCGGAUCUAUAAAGACAGUUCUAAUCUCUAAAUCCAGGUUUUUCCUGACCAGCACUGCCACUCCUCCUCCCCCUCCAGGUCGACAGGGAGAAAUGUAUUUCUCGUAGCCGUUUAGAAGGGGCGAAAAAGCCUGCAGCCCACUCAGUCUGGAUUCGGUAAUUACCACUACAUCCAAACGAUGCGACCUAAGGUCGUUAAGGAGGUAGCCUUGCUUCCAAUACGAUCCCAGGCCGCGAAUAUUUAUACAACCGAGAGAUCAGAAGAG